rnacentral:sRNA from 1 species
GUCCCAAUCCUCUCCGGGCCCUGCUGGAGAGUCAGCUGGGUGAGGGGCUUUUCCAGUCCAGCUUUAGUUUUCUCUCUCCUUGGCUGAAGGCAAGGUUGCCAUUCCAUCCCCUUGGAGCCUCAAGCCUCGAAGCCUGGGCGGUGCCGCAUUCCUCUGGUGAGUACCAAGGGGGUGCUGUGGGAUCUGAGACCUCCUUGUUUCCUCAGGGUCAAGGAGCUGAGCCCCCACAGUGGGCCCAGUGGAGAGCAGUUGAUUCAAAUGGAAACAGAAGAGAUGGAAGCCUGCUCUAACGGGGCGCUGAUUCCAGGCAAUUUAUCCAAGGAAGAGGAGGAACUGUCUUCCCAGAUGUCCAGCUUUAACGAAGCCAUGACUCAGAUCAGGGAGCUGGAGGAGAAGGCUGUGGAAGAGCUCAAGGAGAUCAUACAGCAAGGACCAGACUGGCUUGAGCUCUCUGAGAUGACCGAGCAGCCGGACUAUGAC